rnacentral:tRNA from 1 species
CAUUGAAUGGCUGAAUUUUAAGCAAUGGUCUCUUAAACCAAUUUAUAGUUUUUAUGACUUUCAAUG